CCAUUGUUUGUUAAUAAAACUGCUUUUUUUUUGUUUCUUGUCUUUUUGUGUUUUUUGUUUUUUUAAAUCUACAUUGUUAUUCAGCAAAGGAACUCAUCUCUAACAAUCUGUUGGAAUCAGAGGAAAUCAUUGCUUUGUAUUUGCAAGUACAUCAAUCUAUUCGUCAAUUCAAUUGAAUAAUAUUGUUAACCAAUCAUUUAUUUUGCUUUCUUUUCUAUUAGUACCAGUUCACCC